rnacentral:lncRNA from 1 species
AGCCGUGGGGGAGGGGAAAGGGCGCGCGGCCUCGGAUGCGCAGACCCUGGGCCGGCGACUCGGGGACCCUGCUCCCUCUUAGCUAAAAAUGACGUCGGCGUUCAGCUCCUCCAACCUCACGUGGACAGGCGAGGGAACCGAGACCCAGAGAGGGCAGGGGACUUUGGCAAACUCACACAGCCCACCGCAGGCAACUGGAACUGAAACCCAGGACUCCGUCUCUUGCCAGUGAAAGUUAUGUUAGGAAGCAGUGAGGGGUCUAAAGCAGUAUGAAAGGCAAAGAGAAAAGGUGAUUGUUCCCUCUUGAAUGGCCCUUGGAAGCUGAGUAUCUGGAUUCACCCUCCCUAGGGAAUUUCCCGAUUGUCUUGCAGGCUUACACACUCAUCAAGAUGACAAAAAUAAUGACAGUAACACUUAUGUGGAACUUGACUUUUUCCCAGGUGCUGCUCUAAGCAUUUACUGUGUUUGUUUUACAGGAAGGAAGACUGUACACAGAGAAUAAAUAACUUGGCCAAGCCAUUCAGCUAGGAAGUUGUAGAUCCUAAAUUAAGAGUUCAAGGUCUUAAUGGCUACUCUAUGCGGCCUCUCAUAGUCUUUUCAAGGGUUUUGGAGAAGAAUAAAAGAUCAGGUAUGGCUUCUCCCUCCCCCAGCUCUCUAUUGUUCCCUAAAGGAUUAUUCAUUCGUUCAUUCAUUCCUACAUCCUCCCAUUUAUUCCAGUCAUCCACAGAUGUUUGAGUGGUUACAAUGUGCCAGCCUCCCUUCUAGGUACUGGAGAUAAAGUGGGACAAGAGAGGUGAGGUCUGGACCCUUGGCACUUUCACGAUAAAAUACACAGUUGCUUGUGAUACAUCAGUAUCCUCACUCACCCCCAACUCCAGAGGCUGAAACUAACUCUCCUCCUCCCUCUUCCAACUGCUGAGGAAGAUGAGUCAAUGGUGUUACUGGACCCUGUGAACUGAUGCUGUGAAGAGAGGCCAUUUAACACGGACUACGGGGAAUGGUGCCACAGGGGGCUCAGUGCUGCCCUUCACUCUCAGCAUUUUGCUCACUCAGCAUUGAUGACAGGAUGUCCCAAAAGUAACAAAAGAUGGGAGCCAGUCCUCUCAUAGCUGUUUCUUCAAUCAUCCCAUCAACAGCUCUUCAUUUAUUGAACUACCUUCCUUUUCCAAAGAGGUAAUGCUGAGAUCAGUCAGAAAGGCUUUCUGAGAAAACUGGCUUGGAUUUCUGGGUCUGUUGCAGUCAAUUCAAGAUGAACUGGCUUGUAUCAAUGAAGCGCUCAAUGCAGUUCACAAAACAGGCCUCAGCCCGACUGUCCAACUUUGGCCCAGGCUUGUCCAUGCACUUCUCCCAACAAAGUUCAGUCAUCUGGUGCACCAGCUGCUGGAAGCGCUGCUUUUGAGUCUCUACCUCAAUGAAAAUGCUGCAACUGCGGGUCCACUGCACCCAAACCCGCCGCAGAGGAAGAGCAGGAGGAAUCCAUCCCAGGACAACCAUGCUUGCAGAGACGAACUCCGCACCAACCUUCACGUGUCUCCACGACCUAGUUAAUCAAUUUAAAAUGAGGUCACUAGGGUGGGCCCCAAUCCAAUAUGACUGAUAACUUUAUAAAAAGGAGAGAUUUGGAUACAGAAAGAGACAGAGUGAAAACCAUGUGAAGAAACAUAGGAAAAGAUGGCAGCUACAAGCCAAGGAGAAGCUUGCAGUGUGUAUUCAUCUGUUCUCAUGCUGUUAAUAAAGACAUACCUGAGACUGGGUAAUUUAUAAAGGAAA